CGGCGGACGGGUGAGUAAUGCAUAGGAAUCUGCCCGAUAGUGGGGGAUAACCUGGGGAAACCCAGGCUAAUACCGCAUACGUCCUACGGGAGAAAGGGGGCUUCGGCUCCCGCUAUUGGAUGAGCCUAUGUCGGAUUAGCUAGUUGGUGAGGUAACGGCUCACCAAGGCCACGAUCCGUAGCUGGUCUGAGAGGAUGAUCAGCCACAUCGGGACUGAGACACGGCCCGAACUCCUACGGGAGGCAGCAGUGGGGAAUAUUGGACAAUGGGGGCAACCCUGAUCCAGCCAUGCCGCGUGUGUGAAGAAGGCCCUCGGGUUGUAAAGCACUUUCAGCGAGGAAGAACGCCUAGCGGUUAAUACCCGCUAGGAAAGACAUCACUCGCAGAAGAAGCACCGGCUAACUCCGUGCCAGCAGCCGCGGUAAUACGGAGGGUGCAAGCGUUAAUCGGAAUUACUGGGCGUAAAGCGCGCGUAGGUGGCUUGAUAAGCCGGUUGUGAAAGCCCCGGGCUCAACCUGGGAACGGCAUCCGGAACUGUCAAGCUAGAGUGCAGGAGAGGAAGGUAGAAUUCCCGGUGUAGCGGUGAAAUGCGUAGAGAUCGGGAGGAAUACCAGUGGCGAAGGCGGCCUUCUGGACUGACACUGACACUGAGGUGCGAAAGCGUGGGUAGCAAACAGGAUUAGAUACCCUGGUAGUCCACGCCGUAAACGAUGUCGACCAGCCGUUGGGUGCCUAGCGCACUUUGUGGCGAAGUUAACGCGAUAAGUCGACCGCCUGGGGAGUACGGCCGCAAGGGUUAAAACUCAAAUGAAUUGACGGGGGCCCGCAC
rnacentral:rRNA from 1 species